GAGCCAGACUCCUACGGGAGGCAGCAGUGAGGAAUAUUGGUCAAUGGGCUUACGCCUGAACCAGCCAAGUCGCGUGAGGGAAGACUGCCCUAUGGGUUGUAAACCUCUUUUGUCAGGGAGCAACGCCGGCUACGUGUAGCCGGACUGAGAGUACCUGAAGAAAAAGCAUCGGCUAACUCCGUGCCAGCAGCCGCGGUAAUACGGAGGAUGCGAGCGUUAUCCGGAUUUAUUGGGUUUAAAGGGUGCGUAGGCGGAAUGCCAAGUCAGCGGUAAAAAUGCGGUGCUCAACGCCGUACAGCCGUUGAAACUGGCAGUCUUGAGUGGGCGAGAAGUAUGCGGAAUGCGUGGUGUAGCGGUGAAAUGCAUAGAUAUCACGCAGAACUCCGAUUGCGAAGGCAGCCUACUAAACUGCCACUGACAUUGAUGCUCGAAAGUGUGGGUAUCAAACAGGAUUAGAUCCCCUGGUA
rnacentral:rRNA from 1 species